CGCCCCCUUUCUCCUUUUUCCAUUUUUUUUUUAAUUUCUUUUCUCAAAUUCUCUCAUAAAUUCAUUUGGACCAAUUUAAAAUCAUUUUCACCUCUUGCUCCCAAAAGCAAAGUUGUUCCAAAGCAAAAACCCUACCACUUUGCUUUAACAAGCAAGACCAAAUUCCAAGCAGAAUUUGAAUUACAAGUUAAAGUCAGUUCUAGGUUUCA
rnacentral:lncRNA from 1 species